UUCUGUGGUACAAGCAGAGCAAAUUGAUCAGCAAGUGUUUUAUUUUCUCUUCAUUACAACACAGAUUGGAAAACACUCUCUGACAGAAGAAAGCAAAAAAUACAGACUGGUGGGGGAAAGGAUGAUUAGGGUCCAAUCAUAACAAAAGUCUCAAGUCAAGUGGAUAUCCUUACUGGAAAAAAAAAAUGGAAUGGUAACUCAGAUGAACAACUUUUCCACUGACCUUCCUUCACUUUACCUCUCUUUUGAUGGCUGCUCAACAGAGGGGAUUAUAAAGUAAUACAGCAAUUUCUUUAUGCUGAGUUAAGUCUCAGAAUGGAUUGCUAUCGACUUUUCCUUUACUUCAUAUGAUUCAAGUGAAGAAAUUGCCUCACUGAAGAGGGGGGAAAAAAAGGCAAAAAAACCCCCAACUUAAAACAACAAAAGUGAAAUGAAGCAGAGUGAAAAGAAAGUGGCUUGCAGCUUUUUCAGGCCUGAGAUAAUGCAUAUGAUAAGAACUCCAGCACCAUGGAUGGGCCAGAUAAGAAAGCUGUAGAAGGAGCAAUGUUGGUGGAGUGCCAUCCUCCAUUUGGCAUGCUGUUUCUGGCUCUGAGUAACUUGAGAAACUCAGAGCCAUUUCUGUCUCUGACUAAGCUGGUCUAGUGGAAGGUUCCCUGCCCACGGCAGAGGGUUUGGAACUAGAUGAUAUUUAAGGUCCCUUCAAACCCAAACCAUUCAUGAUCGUAUGAAAACCGUGAGCAAAGCUUAUCACCAAGCUGGUUUUUUGUUGCUUGCAAAGAACUUGUAGAUUUGGUCUUUCACAUCAUAUCUUUUGUAAGUAGUAAGUUUAUGUGGCACCCACACAUUUAGUCUGAUUAUAUUAGUUUUCUCUUUUUCUUAUUUAAGAGUAACAACUGAAGAACCCCCUAAUAUCAAAGAUUUUUUGAUUUUGGUUUAAGCUGGAUGCAGAAGCAUCCCUAGUCUGAGACCAGAAAAGAGUCAAAUGUCUUCUCAACAUGAAUAGACAACCACAUAGCUGUCUACAUACACAAGUGUUCCCAUCUGCAACCUCACUGCUCUGUGCCAGGAGGAACAAAGAAUACCAACUGACCACACUUUGCACGGCCUGCUUCAAAGUUCUACUCUGAGGAAAAUAAAGCAGGUACUUCAGCCCACACAGCCUGCAUCAACCUCUACCAAUGCAGAAUAAAAAUGAGGAAUUUGUGGACUCUUUUCUUGAAAAGCUAUUUAACGUUAAAUACCUAAGCUUACCUUGGAGACCAGAUACCAUUCUCCCCUUUGCUAAUGCACACCCUACUCUGAGCUGUGGUCAUCUUUCCUCUUGCUUUUUCUCCCUACAGGCCUGUGAAAUUUGUAGAGCUACUCAACUUUUGAAGAUGAAUAGGAUGUUACUUCCUCAUUCUGUCCCAGCUUGAGGUCAUUCCAAGUUUCACAGGGUACCUAACUCAAGUGUGUGAAUGGUACCAAAGUUUAGAAGAUAAGGAACAUUUCAGAUUCAAUUGUCACCUGUUUCCUACUGUGUGGUUUCAUUGACCCUCUCGCUACUGGAUAUUUGAGCACUUAUAGCUGCCCCAGGCUCCCUGGUCAGCACACAGGAAACUCAGUAGAGUGAACUGCAUUCCUAGAGUUGGCUAACUAAAAGCUGGCUAUUUAGCAAGAUACAAUUCAGGUCCUUUCUGGUUUGAGUAUUCAGAAAAGAGGAGGCUAUAAACCAUCUUUAGAUAUUUAUUGUAUAUGUAGUCAGUAGUUCACACUGGUGGGGUUAUUAAUGUUCCUAAAAUAGCCUUUCACUAUUAUUGAUAGGAGAAUAGAAGAGUCCCUCCAGGGCCUUUUGGCAGCAAGCCGGAUGGCAAUGACUUGCUUAGGGUUGUAAAUUUCUUAAAUGAAGGUGGCAAACAAAAAUUUUUACCAGCAAAUACAGCUUUUUUUCCAGGCAGCGUUUAGAGUUAAAAAUAAAACUAUAUGAUGCAUACUGCAAUUUAGGUAGCAGGUGCUUUUCACUGCCUAAUUUGAAAUGGAUUAUCCAUAACUAGAUGUAUGCCUAGUGCUUUCCAAUGAGAAUCAUAGAAUCAUGGAAUAUUAAAGAGUUGGA